CCGCGUGAGUGAUGAAGGGUUUCGGCUCGUAAAACUCUGUUGUUGGAGAAGAACAGGUGAUAGAGUAACUGUUAUCAUCUUGACGGUAUCCAACCAGAAAGCCACGGCUAACUACGUGCCAGCAGCCGCGGUAAUACGUAGGUGGCAAGCGUUGUCCGGAUUUAUUGGGCGUAAAGCGAGCGCAGGCGGUUUUUUAGGUCUGAUGUGAAAGCCUUCGGCUUAACCGGAGAAGGGCAUCGGAAACCGGGAGACUUGAGUGCAGAAGAGGACAGUGGAACUCCAUGUGUAGCGGUGAAAUGCGUAGAUAUAUGGAAGAACACCAGUGGCGAAGGCGGCUGUCUGGUCUGUAACUGACGCUGAGGCUCGAAAGCAUGGGUAGCGAACAGGAUUAGAUACCCUGGUAGUCCAUGCCGUAAACGAUGAGUGCUAAGUGUUGGAGGGUUUCCGCCCUUCAGUGCUGCAGCUAACGCAUUAAGCACUCCGCCUGGGGAGUACGACCGCAAGGUUGAAACUCAAAGGAAUUGACGGGGGCCCGCACAAGCGGUGGAGCAUGUGGUUUAAUACGAUGCUACGCGAAGAACCUUACCAGGUCUUGACAUCUUCUGCUAACCUAAGAGAUUAGGCGUUCCCUUCGGGGACGGAAUGACAGGUGGUGCAUGGUUGUCGUCAGCUCGUGUCGUGAGAUGU
rnacentral:rRNA from 1 species